UAACCUUUCAGGAGACCACAUUGAAUAGACUUGCUGUGUUCAUAGAGGAACAGACUGGACUUCUGCUCUGUGGAGGAAGAUGUCAGAUUUUUAAUGAAGAAAAAUCUGCAGUGCCAAUCAUACCGUAUGAUGCGUGGGUAUCCACUCUCCUUGCCCAAGAAGCACACAAUGCCAACCAUGAAGAGAUUGCAGGAACACUCCUUCAGGUGAGGAAAAUGGCAUGGGUGGUAAAAGGUCGUAAAGUGGCUCAAAAGAUUGUGAACAACUGUGAAAAGCCAGAGCGAAAAGAUGCCAGCAAAUCAUGAGUGACCUUCCACCUGAGCGUAUAACACCAGCUAAUCCCUUUCAGUACACAACAGUGGACCUCUUUGGACCUUAUGAAGUGAAGGAUGAGGUGAGAAAGAAAGUGAAACUCAAAGUCUGGGGAAUAGUCUUCAGCUGCAUGGCUUCCAGAGCCAUACACACUGAUGUUGUCAGUGACCAGUCAGCUGAAGGCUUCCUGCUGGCCUACCAGCAGUUCACAGCACUGAGAGGGCACCCAAAAAAGCUGUGGUCAGAUCCUGGGAAAAACUUUGUAGGUGCAAAACCUGCCCUUAAAGAGCUCUAUUUGUUCCUUGGCCAGCUUGAAAAGUCAAAUAUUGAGAGUGAAGCCUCCAGGAAUGGCACAGAAUGGAACUGGAAAAUCCAUCCCGCAGAUUCACCUCACAGGAAUGGAGCUGCAGAGGCGGCGGUGCGCACUGUGAAGCGGGCCCUGCACAAUCUGGGAGGUGAAGGUGUCUUCACAUGGAGUGAGUUCCAAACUUUUUUGUAUUUAGCCUCCAACCUUGCCAAUUAGAGACCCGUUGACGCCAGGACCCAGAGCCGGGAGGACUGUGUGGAAUACAUCAGUCCAAAUUCACUUCUGCUUGGACGGGCUGGACCCAGAGGAGAUCCAGCUAGCUUUGAGUUUGAAGGCUACCCUUACAAGGGACUGAAGGCCAUACAAACAGAAGUUGACCGAUUCUGGAAGAAGUGGAGUCAGCUUGCUGGACCUAACCUCUUUGUGAGAUCCAAGUGGCACACUGCCCACAGAAAUGUGGCUGUUGGAGAUGUUGUCUGGAUGGCUGACCAGAACGCCCUAAGGGCACAAUACCGGCUCGGCAGGGUGACCAAAGUAAACGCUGACAGCAAGGGUAUCGUGAGAGCUGUGCACAUCAGGACUUUUCCCAGCUACCCAGUUUCCUCUACAAAACCUGCUGCAAAGAAGGGAAAGCAGCACUCAAGUAAAACCCGGGCCACCAUUCUUCACAGAGACGUCAGACGGAUCAUUGUUUUAAUACCAGUUGAAGAACAGGAACAACAUUAUGCAAACUGAAGGGAAACUUGCCUGAACAGAUGAUGAUGUGACCUUCUUGGGUUUAAAAAACCAAGAGGUCAAGUGGGAGGUGUCACGUCAAAAGACAGAGCAGAAAAAACACCACUGAUUUGCAGAGCACACUCCAGGCCUGAAGGGGCAACAGUGAGAGCUGAAGGCUGAACAUCUCCACCUGCUUCCACACAAUUUGGCUUGAGUUCACCUGUUCACCUGCUCAGAGCACAUGCUUAAAAUGUUUGAGCUUCAGUCAGUCAGCCCUUUUGACAUGCUGCUGAAAGGAAGGAAGACAGCUCUUGUGUGGACUCAGAAGACGCAACUGGAUGGGGCUGCUCCACGCGCGGUAAUUGUGGAACGCUUUUACAUCGUUUUGCCCAAAACAAGGAAAGAAGACAAGUAUGGGACGUGAAGGUCUGCCCUCAACACUGGGGAGUCACCGACUACAAUGUCUUGUGCGAGGCAUGGCCAACCAUCAGAAGAGCUGAUAGGCAACACAUAAGAGUGGACAACAGAAGACAGUCGAAACAUGUCAGGUUGGGCGACUUGUCCAGGGUGUACACCGCCUUCCGCCCCAUUGCAGCUGAGAUAGGCUCCAUCACCCCCCGCCACCCUAAAAGGGACAAGCGGUGGAUGGAUGGAUGGAUGGAUGGAUGCCUGAGUCACACGUUUCUCUGGAGCUGUCUCCUCAAUUCAACAUGUCCAGGGUUUACCCGCCUUCUCCCUGUCGUAACGUGGACUAUGGUGUGGUUUGUUUUCCCGAGAUGCAAAUGAACUCGACCAGACAUGGCGUGAAGAUCACAAGCCCUUCCUUUUUUGUCACCAGUCUGACGUCAUCCCUGACCCUUGAUUGUUUCCACCUGUUUCCCAUUACCGUCAUGUUCUAUUUAAGCUCGUCUCCCCUUGUCCUGUGCCAGAUCGUCUCGAACUUUCGUGUCUAUUUAGCGUUUAUGUCCAUGUCCAUGUUUAUAUCCAUGCCUAGCCUCUUCCCAUGUUUACUUCCCUGGAACAAGAAUUUCUCUUUCUGUAAUUUUGAAUUGUACUUUUUUCCUCCUUUGAGCAACCUUCGUUAGUCUAACCUUCGUUCAACCUAUUUGGUGAGUUGUUGUAUUUUUCUAAAUUCCUUUUCUUCCUCAUAGAUUGAGUGAUUUUGUGUUUAUCUUUAUUAUGUAUUAAGUUAUAGUCCUUUUUGUUCUUCCUCCUGUUGGACUGCUUUGUGUUAUUUUUUAUAGUAGAUACAACAUUUAUGAUGGUUUGUUUUCUUGUUAUUUUUUUCCUCCUAUUUUUUGGAGUGAUUAUUGGUUUAUCUAAUUCCGAAAUUAUUUCCGCAGACCUCUUUUGUUAAUCAUCAAGUGCGUCAUACUCUGGCUCCGGGGGUUUAAAAAGUGGUUUCAAAAUAAAAUCUUUAU